GCCUCGAUGGUGAAAUUGGUAGACACCCGGGACUUAAAAUCCCGUGCCGCGAAAGUGGCGUGCCGGUUCGAUCCCGGCUCGAGGCACCA
rnacentral:tRNA from 1 species